rnacentral:sRNA from 2 species
CACGCCGUCACUGGGGAGUAGCCGCCCGUAACUCCAGCGGGGGACACGUCAACAAACUUGCCGCAAGGCAUGGCGUGUCCGGCAAAGACCCUGAGUCGCUUCGGCGGCCCAGGCGCUUGGCGAGACCUUUGGCU